rnacentral:rRNA from 1 species
UACGUAGGGUGCAAGCGUUAAUCGGAAUUACUGGGCGUAAAGCGUGCGCAGGCGGUUUUGUAAGUUUGUCGUGAAAUCCCCGGGCUCAACCUGGGAAUGGCGAUGAAGACUGCAAGGCUAGAAUCUGGCAGAGGGGGGUAGAAUUCCACGUGUAGCAGUGAAAUGCGUAGAUAUCUGGAGGAACACCGGUGGCGAAGGCGGUUCUCUGGGCAUGAUCUGACGCUGAGGAGCGAAAGUGUGGGGAGCGAACAGG